CAACUCUCAUCAACUCUCAUGCAACUCUUGUUCUCGUUUGACCAGGGCUUAAUUUUGAAAACACUUUUUUGCAACCUGACACUGCAGUCUGACAUUAAUUUACAACAUAUUUGUCGACUUCAUGUUUGCUGCAUGAUUUAUUUUUCUUCUGCAAAUAACACAGGCUGAUUAAGGCCUUUCAUCAUUCCAAUUUAAUCACGGCUUGUUUACACAUGUUUCGCCUCAUAAUACCCCCACAACAAACUUUAAAUCAAAUUUUGAACAGCAAUGUGGCAGUUUUGAAUAUGCUCAUGAGCAUGCCCAUAUAUGUACCAAAAUCCUGUAAUCUGCUCAUGAGCAUGCUUUAUGAGCAUACUGCAUGAUUUUCGUGUAUACAGGUAUGAAUAUAGCCUACAUAUUACAUAUACGUAUGAACAAAAUGCCAUUAGGUCAAAAGAUGUGCUUUUCUUUCCAGUUUUUGCUUAUAGAAUGAAAACUCACUUAAAAAUGAAGAAAAUACUGAAUUUUGGCAAAUUUCAUGUGCAAGUGUAAUUUGUACGAACAAGGCCAUGGCUAGAAAUCUAAUACAGUAUGGCGGAAAAGCAUGCAUGCAGAGCGCAAAUUAAAUAAAUUCAAAAUGGCGGCAAUGUAUAGAAUUGAUAGAGGAAAAACUAUAUUUCUGUUUUUUUGUUUUAUAACCUUACAAAUUCUCACAUGUGCACGUCUAAAACGUCAAUAUAUAACACAAAUAUUAACUAGAACAAAUAUCGCGACAAACUGACAAGGCUAAAUGAGUUCCCUAGCUCGAUAGCUUCUUACCUCUUAUUCCCCAUACAAGUGUCUAUUAAAUCCCAAUAAUUGGCCAAAGUUGGCCAAAGUAAGCCUUUAUUUUGGCAAUAAUCAGUUGGUUUGGCUGUAAUGUGCACGUCUAAAUACACUCGAGAAUAUUUAUUCUUUGUUUUGCGAAGCCUUUUGGGACGUAUCUUCGUCUUUAAGUAGGUUCCCAAACGCCGUAAAAAAGUGCGAUUUAAGUGCCGCAGAGUCGUUGUCAAUCGAUCGACCAAGCGCCGACAUAAACACUGAACACGACAUGAAAAUCGAAGCAAUACAAUGCUUUCUUGUCGCCAUUUUAGAACUGUUGUUAUGGUUUUCAUGGUGUUUACCGCUGCAACGUUUAUUUGAUCGUGGAUGCAGAAAUAAAAGCGCAAAUAAGCGGUAAAAUUUGAAAUUUGGCUUGGUAAAUAUACACUUUCUGUUGGGAAUCAAAUUUCGCAAUUUACGAAAUUCAUCAAUAAAGGUCAAUAAAGAGGCAUUUUACAUAUAAAUUAUUUCU